UGGGGAAUAUUGGACAAUGGGCGAACGCCUGAUCCAGCCAUGCCGCGUGUGUGAAGAAGGUCUUCGGAUUGUAAAGCACUUUAAGUUGGGAGGAAGGGCAGUAAGCGAAUACCUUGCUGUUUUGACGUUACCGACAGAAUAAGCACCGGCUACCUCUGUGCCAGCAGCCGCGGUAAUACAGAGGGUGCAAGCGUUAAUCGGAAUUACUGGGCGUAAAGCGCGCGUAGGUGGUUCGUUAAGUUGAAUGUGAAAGCCCCGGGCUCAACCUGGGAACUGCAUCCAAAACUGGCGAGCUAGAGUAGGGCAGAGGGUGGUGGAAUUUCCUGUGUAGCGGAGAAAUGCGUAGAUAUAGGAAGGAACACCAGUGGCGAAGGCGACCACCUGGGCUCAUACUGACACUGAGGUGCGAAAGCGUGGGGAGCAAACAGG
rnacentral:rRNA from 1 species